rnacentral:rRNA from 1 species
GGGGAAUAUUGGACAAUGGGCGCAAGCCUGAUCCAGCAAUGCCGCGUGUGUGAAGAAGGCCUGCGGGUUGUAAAGCACUUUCAGUGGGGAAGAACGGGCGAGGGUUAAUACCCCUAGCCACUGACGUUACCCACAGAAGAAGCACCGGCUAACUCCGUGCCAGCAGCCGCGGUAAUACGGAGGGUGCAAGCGUUAAUCGGAAUCACUGGGCGUAAAGCGCACGUAGGCGGCACGUUAAGUCAGAUGUGAAACCCCUGGGCUCAACCUGGGAAUGGCAUUUGAUACUGGCGCGCUCGAGUCUGAGAGAGGGAGGUGGAAUUCCAGGUGUAGCGGUGAAAUGCGUAGAUAUCUGGAGGAACACCGGUGGCGAAGGCGGCCUCCUGGCUCAUGACUGACGCUGAGGUGCGAAAGCGUGGGGAGCAAAC